GGGUAAGUGGCGAAAUCCGGUAAACGCGUCAUAUUCAAAAUAUGAUAAUAUCAUUUUGAGGGUUCGAGUCCCUCCUUACCCAC
rnacentral:tRNA from 1 species